rnacentral:lncRNA from 1 species
GCAUGUAUCCAUGGCAACACUGUCAUCUACCAGCAUGUUCUAAUGAGAGGAACUCUUACCACCAACAGUAUACAAAGGUGAGCCCAGGUGGUACAAGAAAAGCCCACAGUGAAGAUAAGAAGGUUAAGCAGAGACCUGAGCGAAGGAAGGAUAUAAGCCACACAAUUAUCUAAUGAAAAAGAAUUAUAGGGAGAGGAGCAACAAGUGCAAAGACCCUGAGGCCGGGCCGUGUUUGGCUUCUCAGGUACAGCAAGGAGGCUACUAGUCCAGCUCAAUCAGAGGAGCAAAGAGUAGGCCAAUGAAUGUCUCACAAAUACCGGGAAGGGUCAGAUACUGUAGGGGUUUGGAGGUCAGAACUCAGAAUAUUUUCUUCUUAAAGGCAGGUCUGCUUCACCUUCUGAAAAGAUAACUUUCUUCAGUUGCUGAGUGAACAGCAGGCAACAGAGAGGCAAGCACCCCAGUCUAGUGCAGCAGCCUGAAAGGCAGAUGGGGACCCUGCCGAGGUAACCAAUAAGAAGCUGUUGGCAGAGAGAAGACAAAGAGCCACAAGAGAAAAUUCGGUAUGCACAACAGAGGCCAGGAACCAAAAGCUGUGUCACAACAGAAGGACAUCUGGCUCAUGACAGCCUGCUGCUGUGUGAUCUUGGGAAUGUCACUUGCCCUUCCAAAGUCUCUAUCUCUCUGUAACACCGGAAUGAGAAAGUAUCUGCUUCAUAAUGCUGUGGCAAGGAAUCCAUGA